GGCUGCACGGUGGUGCAGUUGGUAGCACUGUGUCCUUGCAGCAAGACGGUCCUGGGUUCAACUCCCGGCCAAGGGUCU